GCCUAGGUGGCUCAGUUGGUUAAGUGUCUGACUUCGGCUCAGGCCAUGAUCUCAUGGUUGCAGGUCCAAGCCCUGCCCUGGGCU
rfam:Felis catus isolate Cinnamon breed Abyssinian chromosome B1, whole genome shotgun sequence.